UACGUAGGGUGCAAGCGUUGUCCGGAAUUAUUGGGCGUAAAGAGCUCGUAGGCGGUUUGUCGCGUCUGCUGUGAAAACUCGGGGCUUAACCCCGGGCCUGCAGUGGGUACGGGCAGACUAGAGUGCGGUAGGGGAGACUGGAAUUCCUGGUGUAGCGGUGAAAUGCGCAGAUAUCAGGAGGAACACCGGUGGCGAAGGCGGGUCUCUGGGCCGUAACUGACGCUGAGGCGCGAGAGCGUGGGGAGCAAACAGG
rnacentral:rRNA from 1 species